rnacentral:rRNA from 1 species
CCUACGGGUGGCUGCCGUGAGGCAUAUUGCUCCAUGGUCGCGAGCCUGAACCAGCCCAGUCGCGUGAAGGAUGACUGCUCUACGGGUUGUAAACUUCUUUUAUAAAGGACUAAAUUGAGGCACGUGUGCCUUUUUGUCUGUACUUUAUUAAUAAGUAUCGGCUACGUCCGUGCCAGCAACCGCGGUAAUACGGAGUAUCCGAGCGUUAUCCGGAAUUACUGGGAGUAAAGGGUGCGUAGGUGGUUUUACAAGUUGGUCGCUGAAACCCGGGGCUCAACCUCUGAACUACUACCAAAACUGUCGGACGGGAGGGCAGGAGAGGCAAAUGGAAUUCCUAGUGUAGCGGUGGAAUGCGUAGAUAUUAGGAGGAACACCAGUGGCGAAGGCGAUUUGCUGGACUGUAACUGACACGGAGGCACGAAAGCGUGGGGAGCAAACAGGAUUAGAUACCCGAGUAGUC